AUGUCCUCGAGCAGGUGCUCCUGCUCCAGGCGCAGCAGACUGCGCGCCGAGCCCAGGCACAACACGGCGCCACGCAUCUCACGGACGUCGCGGUCGUCGUGGUCGUGCAGCUUGCCCAUUGCGGAGCCGUCUGCCUGCUGCUACCGCGGCACCGCCGCCUCGCCCCCCAGGCUGCGGUUGUGCACCUCCAGCUACCUCACCUUGUCAAUGUAGCCCGCAAAGCGGUCGUUCAGCGUCUACAGCUGCUUCUGUCUGCGCGCCGCAGCCUCUGCCACCACGUAGCCCUUCGGCUCAGCGUGUCCAGCGUUUUGAUGCUCGAGGGUGCGCCUGCGCAGUGGAAGAGGUUGGGUGAGGCCGACACGGAUCUCAUAGGCGGACACGGAUCUCAUAGACUUCCACGAGUGGAAGCCGCUGGAGGAGCCGGCGGCCGAGCGUGUCCAGCCUUCUCCUCCCUGGCCCAGCGCGUAAUGGAGGCUGCCGCCACUGGGCAGCGUGACGAAAGGAACGCCCAGCAGCACAUCCGUGCAACCGAAGCUCGUCGUGGUCAGAGCAGACUGAGUCUUGCUCUGUCACCAGGCUGGAGUACAGUGGCAUGAUCUGGGCUAAUUGCAAGCUCCAUCUUCCAAAUUCAAGUGAUUCUGCUGCCUCAGCUUCCCUAAUAACUGGGACUACAGGUACGUGCCACCAUGCCUUGCUAAGUUUUGUAUUUUUAGUAGACACGG
rnacentral:lncRNA from 13 species